GAGUUUGAUCAUGGCUCAGAUUGGACGCUGGCGGCAGGCCUAACACAUGCAAGUCGAACGGUAACAGGAAACAGCUUGCUGUUUCGCUGACGAGUGGCGGACGGGUGAGUAAUGUCUGGGAAACUGCCUGAUGGAGGGGGAUAACUACUGGAAACGGUAGCUAAUACCGCAUAACGUCGCAAGACCAAAGAGGGGGACCUUCGGGCCUCUUGCCAUCAGAUGUGCCCAGAUGGGAUUAGCUAGUAGGUGGGGUAACGGCUCACCUAGGCGACGAUCCCUAGCUGGUCUGAGAGGAUGACCAGCCACACUGGAACUGAGACACGGUCCAGACUCCUACGGGAGGCAGCAGUGGGGAAUAUUGCACAAUGGGCGCAAGCCUGAUGCAGCCAUGCCGCGUGUAUGAAGAAGGCCUUCGGGUUGUAAAGUACUUUCAGCGGGGAGGAAGGGAGUAAAGUUAAUACCUUUGCUCAUUGACGUUACCCGCAGAAGAAGCACCGGCUAACUCCGUGCCAGCAGCCCGGUAAUACGGAGGGUGCAAGCGUUAAUCGGAAUUACUGGGCGUAAAGCGCACGCAGGCGGUUUGUUAAGUCAGAUGUGAAAUCCCCGGGCUCAACCUGGGAACUGCAUCUGAUACUGGCAAGCUUGAGUCUCGUAGAGGGGGGUAGAAUUCCAGGUGUAGCGGUGAAAUGCGUAGAGAUCUGGAGGAAUACCGGUGGCGAAGGCGGCCCCCUGGACGAGGACUGACGCUCAGGUGCGAAAGCGUGGGGAGCAAACAGGAUUAGAUACCCUGGUAGUCCACGCCGUAAACGAUGUCGACUUGGAGGUUGUGCCCUUGAGGCGUGGCUUCCGGAGCUAACGCGUUAAGUCGACCGCCUGGGGAGUACGGCCGCAAGGUUAAAACUCAAAUGAAUUGACGGGGGCCCGCACAAGCGGUGGAGCAUGUGGUUUAAUUCGAUGCAACGCGAAGAACCUUACCUGGUCUUGACAUCCACGGAAGUUUUCAGAGAUGAGAAUGUGCCUUCGGGAACCGUGAGACAGGUGCUGCAUGGCUGUCGUCAGCUCGUGUUGUGAAAUGUUGGGUUAAUUCCCGCAACGAGCGCAACCCUUAUCCUUUGUUGCCAGCGGUCCGGCCGGGAAUUCAAAGGAGACUGCCAGUGAUAAACUGGAGGAAGGUGGGGAUGACGUCAAGUCAUCAUGGCCCUUACGACCAGGGCUACACACGUGCUACAAUGGCGCAUACAAAGAGAAGCGACCUCGCGAGAGCAAGCGGACCUCAUAAAGUGCGUCGUGGUCCGGAUUGGAGUCUGCAACUCGACUCCAUGAAGUCGGAAUCGCUAGUAAUCGUGGAUCAGAAUGCCACGGUGAAUAUGUUCCCGGGCCUUGUACACACCGCCCGUCACACCAUGGGAGUGGGUUGCAAAAGAAGUAGGUAGCUUAACCUUCGGGAGGGCGCUUACCACUUUGUGAUUCAUGACUGGGGUGAAGUCGUAACAAGGUAACCGUAGGGGAACCUGCGGUUG
rnacentral:rRNA from 1 species